CAAUAGCGUAUAUUAAAGUUGUUGCAGUUAAAAAGCUCGUAGUUGGAUUUGUGGCGUACGGUGUGUUCCGGGCACUUGUUGUCUGAGUAACCUGCCGUUGCCAUCCUUGGGUGGAACCUGUGUGGCAUUAGGUUGUCGUGCAGGGGAUGCCCAUCAUUUACUGUGAAAAAAUUAGAGUGUUCAAAGCAGGCUUAUGCCGUUGAAUAUAUUAGCAUGGAAUAAUGAGAUAGGACUUUUUUGCUAUUUUGUUGGUUUGCGCAAGAAGGUAAUGAUUAAUAGGGACAGUUGGGGGUAUUCGUAUUCCAUUGUCAGAGGUGAAAUUCUUGGAUUUUUGGAAGACGAACUACUGCGAAAGCAUUUACCAAGGAUGUUUUCAUUAA
rnacentral:rRNA from 1 species